rnacentral:rRNA from 1 species
GACGAACGCUGGCGGCGUGCCUAACACAUGCAAGUCGAGCGGGGACUUCGGUCCCUAGCGGCGGACGGGUGAGUAACACGUGGGUAACCUGCCUCAUAGAGGGGGAUAGCCUCCCGAAAGGGAGAUUAAUACCGCAUAACAAGUAGUUGUCGCAUGACAGCAACUUUAAAGGAGUAAUCCGCUUGGAGGUGGACCCGCGGCGCAUUAGCUAGUUGGUGAGGUAAAGGCUCACCAAGGGCACGAUGCGUAGCCGACCUGAGAGGGUGAACGGCCAUAUUGGAACUGAGGCACGGUCAAGUCUCCUCCGGGAGGCAGCAGGCGGGAAUACUGCACAAUGGGCGAAAGCCUGAUGCAGCAGCGACGCGUGGAGGAUGAAGGCCUUCGGGUUGUAAAAUCUUGUCUUCUGGGACGAUAAUGACGGUACCAGAGGAGGAAGCCACGGCUAACUACGUGCCAGCCGCCGCCGUAACAC